rnacentral:lncRNA from 1 species
CCAUCAUAUCCCACCCCCCAAAUCCAGCAAACCACCAGUCCACCACCACCUCAUGUGUCGACCCUGCCCAACCUCCUUCAUCUUACCUAAAAUCCGUAUUCAUCAUCGUCAAAAAAAGAGAAAUUCAAUUGUUUGAAACCAGAAAUCCUGCAACAUAACAAAUCUACAACUGGAAACCAGAAACAAUGAAGAUGCAGGGUUUAAUCUGCAACUUGAUAUUAGGUUUUACCCGUUUACGUCACAAGGGUCAGAGAGGGACGACUUAUAUACCAGUGUUUUGUUUUCCACUGUGCAUUUUACCUCUAGAUGAUUUGGGACCCAUAUCACCGGAGAAGAAAGGCGAGAUGAUCGAAAGUUGGAUGGAGAAAGCUUAUCGGAGAAGAAGAAAAGAGGAAGGGUAACCACAUAUGAGCGACGAACCACCGCCACCGGAACAAACCAAACCUCGUUCUCAUCCAUGGCUACGGAGGUAACUCAAGUGGCGAUUCAUAUUGCAGAUAUCUCUACUGACACACGGAGGUGUUCCAGGUGAAGUGUGUGUGUGUGUGUGUGUGUGUGUGUGUUUUGGAAUGAAGAAAUUGGGGGUUAAUAGAUUAUUGGUGCAUAUAGUUAGUUACAGAGGUAGAGGUUUGUGUUGUAUUGGAUGUCGGAGAUAGAGGAGAAGACGGUGGAGAAAGUGGUGAUUGUUAGCGGUGGAAUUGGGUAUUACAGAAUAGAAGAAAUCGGAGUAUCUGGAGAAGAUUGGGCGGAAUGUGGUGGAGAUUUUGGUACCGGAAAAAUCAAGAGAAAGAUGAGGAAGAAGGGCUUGGUGGUUGAGGUUUCCAGUAGAGAGAGAUGAGUAGGGAGGAAGAAGAGCUCGGCGGUGAAGGUGGCUGAUGAGAACAGUGAGCAAGAAAAUGAGGCGUGAAGUGUUGUUCGUUUGAAGCUUAUCUGAAGAUGUGUAGAUGAUGGGCGGGUUAGGGAUGGGACCCACGUCAUGUUUUAAACUAUUUUUUAAUAAACAAUAAGAAAUUAAAAAAAUAAAAAUAAUAAUAAUAAAGGGUAAUAUAGUUUUUUUUGAUGUGAUAGGGACGAAAGUCAAUGUUUGAAUUUCAUACUGAUAAGCUAUGACGAAACAUGUAAAUUACUUUAAACUAUAAGGACCAUUUGUAUAAUUUAUUAUAAAUUUUAAUUUCCCGC